AACGAACGCUGGCGGCAUGCCUAACACAUGCAAGUCGAACGAGACCUUCGGGUCUAGUGGCGCACGGGUGCGUAACGCGUGGGAACCUGCCCUUAGGUUCGGAAUAACUCCCCGAAAGGGGUGCUAAUACCGGAUAAUGUCUUCGGACCAAAGAUUUAUCGCCUUUGGAUGGGCCCGCGUUGGAUUAGCUAGUUGGUAGGGUAAAAGCCUACCAAGGCGACGAUCCAUAGCUGGUCUGAGAGGAUGAUCAGCCACACUGGGACUGAGACACGGCCCAGACUCCUACGGGAGGCAGCAGUGGGGAAUAUUGGACAAUGGGCGAAAGCCUGAUCCAGCAAUGCCGCGUGAGUGAUGAAGGCCUUAGGGUUGUAAAGCUCUUUUACCCGGGAUGAUAAUGACAGUACCGGGAGAAUAAGCUCCGGCUAACUCC
rnacentral:rRNA from 1 species